CGGACCACUGAGCCGGGGACAGCUUGUCUGUGGAGAGACGUCCGGAGCUCAGGGACUGCUGGAUGUCCUCCACCAGGGAACGCUCGUCCAGCUCGUUCAGGCAGUGGAACAGAGACAGACCCAGGAAGAAGCGGAGGAACAGGUCCAAGUGUCCGUUUGGAGACUCCAAGGCUCGGUCGAUGUAAAUCCUGUGGAUCUUAGCUGAGGAUGCUUUGAUCUCUGUGAAAACCCCGGAGCACACCGAGGCCUCUUUGAGAUCCACGCUGCUCUCCAUCAGGUCCUUCCUGUAGAAGAUCAUGUUGCCCUUCUCCAGCUGCUGUAGCUGCAUCUCCCUGCUGACGUCCUCCUGUGGAUGAUGCCUUGCAGUGGUUGGCUCUGCCUUGCUCACAGACACUAC